rnacentral:rRNA from 1 species
AACCUUUACAAUGCACGAAAGUGUGAUAAGGUUACCCGGAGUGCUAAAAUUAAAUUUUAGCUGUUAUAGGUGUGUAAAUAACCCUAUGAGAAAGGAGAGGGCAAGGCUGGUGCCAGCCGCCGCGGUAAAACCAGCUCUUCAAGUGGUCGGGAAUAUUAUUGGGCUUAAAGUGUCCGUAGCCGGUUUGGUAAGUUCCUGGUUAAAUCUGGCAGCUUAACUGUCAGUCAGCUAGGAAUACUACUUUACUAGAGGGUGGGAAAGGUUUGAGGUACUCCAGGGGUAGCGGUGAAAUGCGAUAAUCCUUGGGGGACCACCAGUGGCGAAGGCGUCAGACUGGAACACGCCUGACGGUGAGGGACGAAAGCCAGGGGAGCGAACGGGAUUAGAUACCCCGGUAGUCCUGGCCGUAAACGAUGCGUGCUAGGUGUUGGUAGGGCUUUGAGCUGUAUCAGUGCCGUAGGGAAACUGUUAAGCGCGCCGCCUGGGAAGUACGCUCGCAAGGGUGAAACUUAA